rnacentral:lncRNA from 1 species
UGAGGUUAUGAGCACUCAGGAGCUUAAGGCCAAGUUGGAGCUUUGUGAGGCUUCUCAGACUUUCAUUUUAGACUGUUACACUGACUAGAAUUCUACCUAGAAAUAUCAGCCAACUUCCUUGUUUUCUGUGCCCACCAUCUUUGAUCCUGCCAAUCACACAUAUCACGAUAGCUUCUAUUCUUUCUUCUUGAGUACACUAACAACACUCUUACCCUAUCCCAAGAAUGCCAGAUACAUGCAUUGAGUUGGUUUGGUGGUCAGGACACAAGUCCUUGUUCCCCCUAGUAAGCAGAAGAAUGCAGUUGUCUGUCUAGAUUUUCCUUCUUCAGCAAGGUCAUUUCAUGUGCUGGAAGGGAAGUGGGCCACAGAAGUGUCUGGUUAUAUCUAAGAGAAACUAGUGUCAGAGAACUUGGUCCUUUAGGGUCUGGCCGCCAUCCGUCUCACAGCACCUCACCUUCUGGCCCUGGUGAUGAGGUGGCCCGAGGCAUCGCUGGAGAAAAGUUUGACAUUGUCAAGAAAUGGGGCAUCAACACAUAUAAGGUAAGAUUCAAGCACCUCUUCUCAGAAACUCUCCAUGGGGCCCUUUUCCCUUUCCCUGGGUCUUAAUCUACAGUCUUUGCUAUGACUAAGAGAAUGGGGG